rnacentral:rRNA from 1 species
AACCAAGUUAUCAAGGGCACGUGGUGGAUGCCUUGGCGCCAAGAGCCGAAGAAGGGCGUGGUAGGCUGCGAAAAGCUGCGGUGAGCCGCGAGCAGGCUUCGACCCGCAGAUACCCGAAUGGAGAAAUCCGGCGGGAGUCAUGUCCCGUCAUUGCAGAAUGAAGGCCCUAAGGGCUGUAGUAGCUCUGCAAAGGCAAGUGGGGGAACUGAAUCAUCUAAGUACCCCGAAGAAUUGAAAGCAAUCGCGAUUCCCUGAGUAGUGGCGAGCGAAACGGGAUGAGCCCAAACCGCGAACACGUAAUAGGUUCCAGCCGUUGUGGUCGCGGGGUUGCAGGAGCCGGCUGGUCCGCUGGAACGGACCGAAGAAGUUACAAAAUCGCGCGUUAGCCGAAGGCGGCUGGAAUGCCCCGCCGUAGACGGUGAGAGCCCGGUAGGCGAAAGCGCAGCGAUCUUCUGCUGGAAUUCCUGAGUACCACGGGACACGAGAAACCCUGUGGGAAGCUGGGAGGACCAUCUCCCAAGGCUAAAUACUCUUGGCGACCGAUAGUGAACCAGUACCGUGAGGGAAAGGUGAAAAGUACCCCGGGAGGGGAGUGAAAUAGAACCUGAAACCAUGUGCCUACAAGCAGUCAGAGCACUAUGCCGGUUAGGGCGACCGGCCGGUGGCAAGAACGUCCCAAAGGCGGUUUCGACCGCCUGACGGACCGGACGGCCUCCGGGCGCAAGCCCAGAACAACCGGAAUGUGUGAUGGCGUGCCUUUCGUAGAAUGAACCGGCGAGUUAAUUUGUGCGGCGAGGUUAAGGGCCUAAGGUCCGGAGCCGGAGCGAAAGCGAGUCUUAAUAGGGCGUCCAGUCGUACUGAUUAGACCCGAAACCAGGUGAGCUAACCAUGGCCAGAGCGAAGCGGAAGUAACACUCCGUGGAGGCUCGAACACACCAAUGUCGCAAAAUUGGGUGAUGAGCUGUGGUUAGGGGUGAAAUGCUAAACGAACCUGGAUAUAGCUGGUUCUCCCCGAAAUAGCUUUAGGGCUAGCGUUCGGCUAAGUCUGCCGGAGGUAGAGCACUGACUGGGCUAGGGGGCAUAUCGCUUACCAAACCCUAUCAAACUCCGAAUGCCGGUAGAUUUGCCGGGCAGUUAGACUGCGGGGGCUAAUCUUCGUAGUCAAAAGGAAAACAAUCCAGACCGCCGGCUAAGGCCCCAAAAUCUCGGCUAAGUGGGAAACGUUGUGAGAUUGCUCAGACAACCAGGAUGUUGGCUUAGAAGCAGCCAUCAUUGAAAGAGUGCGUAACAGCUCACUGGUCAAGUGAUCUUGCGCGGAAAAUGUAACGGGGCUCAAGUCGAGUGCCGAAGCCGCGGGAGCCGUCGAUGGUUCGCCAUUGAUGGACGGUAGGGGAGCGUUCCGUUUGCAGUGAAGGUCGAGCGUGAGCACGGCUGGAGCGGACGGAAGUGAGAAUGCCGGUAUGAGUAGCGUAAUGCGCGUGAGAAACGUGCACACCGGAAGUCUAAGGUUUCCUGAGGAAGGUUAAUCCGCUCAGGGUUAGUCGGGCCUAAGCCGAGGCCGAAAGGCGUAGGCGAUGGACAACAGGUUUAUAUUCCUGUACCACCAUUCUUUGCCAUCAGCGAAGGGGGGACCCGGCGCGGUAGGUCGAGCGCGUUCUUUGGCUACACGCGUCCAAGCACGUAGGGUGGCACCAUAGGCAAAUCCGUGGCGCUAGAUCCGAGAUGCGAUGGGAAGGUCAAGGGAAACCGCGGCCGACUCGAUUGAUCCGUGCCGGCAAGAAAAGCCUCGUAGCGAGAAGUUUGGUGCCCGUACCGCAAACCGACACUGGUAGACGAGGGUAAAUGCCCAAAGGUGAUCGGAAUAACCUCUACUAAGGAACUCGGCAAGUUAACCCCGUAACUUCGGGAUAAGGGGUGCCCCGGUAAAGUGACCGGCCCGCGCGGCCGCGAGCUUGAGGGGGUCGCAGUUAACAGGCUCGUCCGACUGUUUAACAAAAACACAGGUCUCUGCUAAGGCGUAAGCCGAUGUAUAGGGGCUGACUCCUGCCCAGUGCCAGAAGGUUAAGGGGAAGGGUGUCAAAGCCUUGAACCGAAGCCCUGGUGAACGGCGGCCGUAACUCUAACGGUCCUAAGGUAGCGAAAUUCCUCGUCGGGUAAGUUCCGACCCGCACGAAUGGAGCAACGAGAUGAGCACUGUCUCGGUAGGGGAUCCGGCGAAAUUGAAGUACCUGUGAAGAUGCAGGUUUCCCGCGAUGGGACAAAAAGACCCCGUGGAGCUUUACUACAGCUUGGGAUUGGUUUCGAGCUGUAUCUGUGCAGGAUAGGUGGGAGGCUGUGAAUCCGGGACGUUAGUCUCGGUGGAGCCAACCUUGAGAUACCACCCUGGUGCAGUUUAAAACCUAACUCGCGUCCGUAAUCCGGCGCGUGGACAUUCUCAGGUGGGUAGUUUGACUGGGGCGGUCGCCUCCCAAAAGGUAACGGAGGCGCCCAAAGGUCCUCUCAGGCUGGAUGGAAAUCAGCCGCAGAGUGCAAAGGCAUAAGAGGGCUUGACUGCGAGACUCACAAGUCGAGCAGAGACGAAAGUCGGGCUUAGCGACCCUAUGGUUCCGCAUGGAAGGGCCAUAGCUAUCGGAUAUAAGCUACCCCGGGGAUAACAGGCUAAUAGCGCCCAAUAGUCCACAUAGACGGCGCUGUUUGGCACCUCGAUGUCGGCUCGUCGCAUCCUGGGGCUGGAGUAGGUCCCAAGGGUUGGGCUGUUCGCCCAUUAAAGCGGCACGCGAGCUGGGUUCAGAACGUCGUGAGACAGUUCGGUCUCUAUCCUCUGUGGGCGUUGGAGCGUUGCGGGGAACUGCCCCUAGUACGAGAGGACCGGGGUGGACGGACCGCUGGUGUGCCAGUUGGAGGGCCGACCUCCACCGCUGGGUAGCCAUGUCCGGACAGGAGAAGCGCUGAAAGCAUCUAAGCGCGAAACCAACCUCAAGAUGAGCGCUCCCUCCGCCAUUGAGCGGAUAAGGCCACGGGAAGACGACCCGUUUGAUAGGCGACAGGUGGAAGCCCGGUAACGGGUGCAGCUGAGUCGUACUAAUGGCCGAAUGGCUUGACCUG